UUGCUUCAGCAGCACAUAUACUAAAAUUGAAAUGUUACAGAGAAGAUUAGGUUGACCCCUACACAAGGAUGACAUGCAAAUUUGUGGAGCAUUCCAUAUUCUU